AUUGAACGCUGGCGGCAGGCCUAACACCUGCAAGUCGAACGAGUGGCGGACGGGUGAGUAAUGUCUGGGAAACUGCCCGAUGGCGGGGGAUAACUACUGGAAACGGUAGCUAAUACCGCAUACCCUCGGAUGUGCCCAGAUGGGAUUAGCUAGUAGGUGGGGUAACGGCUCACCUAGGCGACGAUCCCGAGCUGGUCUGAGAGGCUGACCAGACACAUUGGAACGGAGACACGGUCCAGACUCCUACGGUAGGCAGCAGUGGGUAAUAGUGCACAAUGGGCGCAAGCCUGAUGCAGCCAUGCCGCGUGUAUGAAGAAGGCCUUCGGGUUGUAAAGUACGUUCAGCGAGGAGGCGUUACUCGCAGAAGAAGCACCGGCUAACUCCGUGCCAGCAGCCGCGGUAAUAC
rnacentral:rRNA from 1 species